rnacentral:rRNA from 2 species
CGGGCGUCUUAACAUGCAAGUCGAACGAUUAAAGCACCUUCGGGUGUGUAUAAAGUGGCGAACGGCUGAGUAACACGUGGGCAACCUGCCCCUUUCAUUGGGAUAGCCACGGGAAACCGUGGAUAAUAUCGAAUACUUCGAGACUUCCGCAUGGAAGACUCGAGAAAGCUCCGGCGGAGAGGGAUGGGCCCGCGGCCUGUUAGCUUGUUGGUGGGGUAACGGCCUACCAAGGCAAUGAUGGGUAGCUGGGUUGAGAGACCGACCAGCCAGAUUGGGACUGAGACACGGCCCAGACUCCUACGGGAGGCAGCAGUGGGGAAUCUUGCACAAUGGGCGAAAGCCUGAUGCAGCGACGCCGCGUGCGGGAUGAAGGCCUUCGGGUUGUAAACCGCUUUCAGCAGGGACGAGGCGAAAGUGACGGUACCUGCAGAAGAAGCCCGGCUAAUACAA